rnacentral:rRNA from 1 species
CGGACGGGUGAGUAACACGUGGAUAACCUACCUAUAAGACUGGGAUAACUUCGGGAAACCGGAGCUAAUACCGGAUAAUAUAUUGAACCGCAUGGUUCAAUAGUGAAAGACGGUUUUGCUGUCACUUAUAGAUGGAUCCGCGCCGCAUUAGCUAGUUGGUAAGGUAACGGCUUACCAAGUCAACGAUGCGUAGCCGACCUGAGAGGGUGAUCGGCCACACUGGAACUGAGACACGGUCCAGACUCCUACGGGAGGCAGCAGCA